UACAGAGGGUGCGAGCGUUAAUCGGAAUUACUGGGCGUAAAGGGCGCGUAGGCGGCGCGGUAAGUCACUUGUGAAAUCUCUGAGCUUAACUCAGAACGGCCAAGUGAUACUGCAGUGCUAGAGUGUGGAAGGGGCAAUCGGAAUUCUUGGUGUAGCGGUGAAAUGCGUAGAUAUCAAGAGGAACACCUGAGGUGAAGACGGGUUGCUGGGCCAACACUGACGCUGAUGCGCGAAAGCCAGGGGAGCAAACGGG
rnacentral:rRNA from 1 species